rnacentral:rRNA from 1 species
UACGGAGGGUGCAAGCGUUAAUCGGAAUUACUGGGCGUAAAGCGUGCGCAGGCGGUUUUGUAAGUCUGACGUGAAAUCCCCGGGCUCAACCUGGGAAUUGCGAUGAAGACUGCAAGGCUAGAAUCUGGCAGAGGGGGGUAGAAUUCCACGUGUAGCAGUGAAAUGCGUAGAGAUGUGGAGGAACACCGAUGGCGAAGGCAGCCCCCUGGGUCAAGAUUGACGCUCAUGCACGAAAGCGUGGGGAGCAAACAGG